CGAAUGCUGACAUAAGUAACGAUAAAGCGGGUGAAAAGCCCGCUCGCCGGAAGACCAAGGGUUCCUGUCCAACGUUAAUCGGGGCAGGGUGAGUCGACCCCUAAGGCGAGGCCGAAAGGCGUAGUCGAUGGGAAACAGGUUAAUAUUCCUGUACUUGGUGUUACUGCGAAGGGGGGACGGAGAAGGCUAUGUUGGCCGGGCGACGGUUGUCCCGGUUUAAGCGUGUAGGCUGGUUUUCCAGGCAAAUCCGGAAAAUCAAGGCUGAGGCGUGAUGACGAGGCACUACGGUGCUGAAGCAACAAAUGCCCUGCUUCCAGGAAAAGCCUCUAAGCAUCAGGUAACAUCAAAUCGUACCCCAAACCGACACAGGUGGUCAGGUAGAGAAUACCAAGGCGCUUGAGAGAACUCGGGUGAAGGAACUAGGCAAAAUGGUGCCGUAACUUCGGGAGAAGGCACGCUGAUAUGUAGGUGAAGUCCCUUGCGGAUGGAGCUGAAAUCAGUCGAAGAUACCAGCUGGCUGCAACUGUUUAUUAAAAACACAGCACUGUGCAAACACGAAAGUGGACGUAUACGGUGUGACGCCUGCCCGGUGCCGGAAGGUUAAUUGAUGGGGUUAGCGGUAACGCGAAGCUCUUGAUC
rnacentral:rRNA from 1 species